CCAAUAGCGUAUAUUAAAGUUGUUGCAGUUAAAAAGCUCGUAGUUGAAUUUCGGGGUUAGUAAGUUGGUUGUGCCACUGGUAUGUACUGGCUUUACUGAUUCCUCCUUCUUGUAGAACCGUAAUGCCAUUAAGUUGGUGUUGCGGGGAAACAGGACUGUUACUUUGAAAAAAUUAGAGUGUUUAAAGCAAGCUAACGCUUGAAUACAUUAGCAUGGAAUAAUGAAAUAGGACGUUCGAUCCUAUUUUGUUGGUUUCUAGGAUUGACGUAAUGAUUAAUAGGGAUAGUUGGGGGCAUUAGUAUUCAAUUGUCAGAGGUGAAAUUCUUGGAUUUAUUGAAGACUAACUACUGCGAAAGCAUUUGCCAAGGAUGUUUUCAUUAAUCAAGAACGAAAGUUAGGGGAUCGAAGACGAUCAGAUACCGUCGUAGUCUUAACCAUAAACUAUGCCGACUAGGGAUCGGAUGAUGUUAAUUGUAUAAUGACUCAUUCGGCGCCUUACG
rnacentral:misc_RNA from 1 species